AGAGUUUGAUCCUGGCUCAGAUUGAACGCUGGCGGCAGGCCUAACACAUGCAAGUCGAGCGGUAGCACAGAGAGCUUGCUCUCGGGUGACGAGCGGCGGACGGGUGAGUAAUGUCUGGGAAACUGCCUGAUGGAGGGGGAUAACUACUGGAAACGGUAGCUAAUACCGCAUAAUGUCGCAAGACCAAAGUGGGGGACCUUCGGGCCUCAUGCCAUCAGAUGUGCCCAGAUGGGAUUAGCUAGUAGGUGGGGUAACGGCUCACCUAGGCGACGAUCCCUAGCUGGUCUGAGAGGAUGACCAGCCACACUGGAACUGAGACACGGUCCAGACUCCUACGGGAGGCAGCAGUGGGGAAUAUUGCACAAUGGGCGCAAGCCUGAUGCAGCCAUGCCGCGUGUGUGAAGAAGGCCUUCGGGUUGUAAGCACUUUCAGCGGGGAGGAAGGCGAUAAGGUUAAUAACCUUGUCGAUUGACGUUACCCGCAGAAGAAGCACCGGCUAACUCCGUGCCAGCAGCCGCGGUAAUACGGAGGGUGCAAGCGUUAAUCGGAAUUACUGGGCGUAAAGCGCACGCAGGCGGUCUGUCAAGUCGGAUGUGAAAUCCCCGGGCUCAACCUGGGAACUGCAUUCGAAACUGGCAGGCUAGAGUCUUGUAGAGGGGGGUAGAAUUCCAGGUGUAGCGGUGAAAUGCGUAGAGAUCUGGAGGAAUACCGGUGGCGAAGGCGGCCCCCUGGACAAAGACUGACGCUCAGGUGCGAAAGCGUGGGGAGCAAACAGGAUUAGAUACCCUGGUAGUCCACGCCGUAAACGAUGUCGAUUUGGAGGUUGUGCCCUUGAGGCGUGGCUUCCGGAGCUAACGCGUUAAAUCGACCGCCUGGGGAGUACGGUCGCAAGAUUAAAACUCAAAGGAAUUGACGGGGGCCCGCGCAAGCAGCGGAGCAUGUGGUUUAAUUCGAAGCAACGCGAAGAACCUUACCUAGACUUGACAUCUCCUGCAUUACCCUUAAUCGGGGAAGUCGCUUCGGCGACAGGAAGACAGGUGGUGCAUGGUUGUCGUCAGCUCGUGUCGUGAGAUGUUGGGUUAAGUCCCGCAACGAGCGCAACCCUUAUUGUCAGUUGCUACCAUUAAGUUGAGCACUCUAGCGAGACUGCCUGGGUUAACCAGGAGGAAGGUGGGGAUGACGUCAAAUCAUCAUGCCCCUUAUGUGUAGGGCUACACACGUGCUACAAUGGCAAGUACAGAGAGACGCAAAACCGUGAGGUCGAGCAAAUCCCUUAAAACUUGUCCCAGUUCGGAUUGUAGGCUGAAACUCGCCUACAUGAAGCCGGAGUUGCUAGUAAUCGCGAAUCAGAAUGUCGCGGUGAAUACGUUCCCGGGUCUUGCACUCACCGCCCGUCA
rnacentral:rRNA from 1 species